rnacentral:misc_RNA from 1 species
GCAUCGAUGAAGAACGCAGCGAAAUGCGAUAAGUAAUGUGAAUUGCAGAAUUCAGUGAAUCAUCGAAUCUUUGAACGCAACUUGCGCUCUCUGGUAUUCCGGAGAGCAUGCCUGUUUGAGUGUCAUGAAAUCUCAACCAUUAGGGUUUCUUAAAGCAUGGGAUUUGGAGGUUUGCCACUCU